CUGCUUGUGGACGGUCUGGAAAUUAUGAAAUACACAAUCGAGAACAUUUUCAAAAUAGCGGCCAAUUUUAUAUCCCGACUCCACUGGCACUGCUCAUAAAUAUUUCACCUAGAUUUCCUUGUUUCACAUAUAUUUUUGUUAAAAACAAAACAUUACGGCGGCCCAGACGCGACAGCAAAAAAACAGUUUUUGUAUUUUUAGAUUUUUUGAUUUUUGUAUUUUUUGAUUUUUGUAUUUUUUGUAUUUUUUGAUUUUUGUAUUUUUUUAUUUUUGUAUUUUUUUAUUUUUUAUUUUUGGAUUGAUUUUUUUUCAGUAUAGAUAUACAUACUGUAGCAUUUGAAUGAGCGGGCAAGGUUACUGAUAAUGGGUAUAUAUAACAUGAUCGAAGCUGUGUAACACAAAAUUAAGGUUAAGGGUUAGGUGCCGCGAAUUUGGCAUUUAUCAUGUUGAUAAAUUCGGACGCGUUUAACAAUUUACUCGUAUAGUAAAAUUCAAAUGUGGAACUCAUGCUGUAAAUUACACUAUACGUAUAAUCUUGAUCAAAAAAUUUUCACGACAUAUGGCGCCGGACAAAUUAAAUGGUUCAUUUGGUGCCGGAAAAAAUUUUGCGGACAUAAAAUCGUUUAUUUUUUGCCGACAAUUUUCUUAAUUUUUUGAGAUUUUUAGAUGUAUUAUUCAUCUGGGUACUGGGAUUUAUAUUCUGAGUUCAUCAAUCUUGCAUCAAUACAUUUUAAGGGUCCCUUGUUUUGCGAGCCCCGCCCGAGAUAAAGUUCCACUCUGCCUCUCUCCCGGCGAUCCUGCAUGCAGUAGAUGGAAAUUUAUAACGAAAGAUUCAAUAUAUACAAUUUUAGACUUAACUACAGACUUAACUACAGGAGCAGCUGCGAAAAUGCUGUCAACUGACAGGAAUCGAACCUGUGGCUAAAUAUAGAGAUUUUUGGGAAUAUGACGCUGUAAAUCUGAAUUUGCGCUUGGGAUUUUUCUUGAAAUUUGUGCUUGAAAUUUCCAUCCUACAUAAAUCUUUCAAUCUGUUCAUAUUUUAUAUAAUGGCAUCACCUGUACUAUAUACUGUAUAUAAAAAAGAACUUGUGGUUGGAGCUCGACAACUGAACUCUAUAACUCAGUUGGUUAGAGCACUGCAACGGAAUUGCGGGUCGUAGGUUCGAUUCCUGCUAUAGUUCUAUUUUCCGCAGCUGGUUAUAGAUCUAAAUUAAAUAUAUAUGAAUCUUCCACUCGAAAUGUUCAUCUACAUAAAGCCUUCAAUCUCGGGAUCAAGUGGUCUUAGAAUCAGGGGCGUAGGAAGAGGGGGGCAGUGGGAGCGCGUGCCCUCCCUCCCAAAUUGUUUCAAAGGACGAAAAGUGUCCCUUUUUGUGAUGAAAAGUGCCCUUUUUGUACAAGCUAAUGUCUCUGUAAAUACUAAAUUAACAUCAAAGGUGCCCUUCUUGUUUAGAGAUUUCGAUGUUUUUUUAAAAAAAUUUGGUCAAAAACGUGCCAUUGCGUUAUGGUAUUACGGGAAAACUUUUCUUAAGCUACUAGUUGUCCAAUCGACGUGUGUGGUGCACCGCAUUCUGGUUUAGAAUACUUUAUUGUACAUAUAUCAAGUUUAUACUACAAUAUAUAUACAUGAUCACUGUUUAGGGAAAUUACAUUUAUUAUGCCGAGGGGGGGGGGGGCAGAUGGAUAUGUCUUGAAAAAAAGCUCAUAUUUUUACAGGGCCCCUGUUGAGAUUAUUGGUAAAUUUCCGAUGCCCCCCUCCAAGUUUCUAAAAUUUUCAAUGCCCCCCCGCUCCAGAAUUCGGAAU
rnacentral:lncRNA from 1 species